rnacentral:lncRNA from 1 species
CAGCGGCUUGCUAAUUAGUUUCUGGCAUCGAAUUCGUUCAUUGUGUCAGUUUCCCACCAGACCUUCGGCUGAUGAUGAAAGUGAAGUAAGUUUUCGUGUUCCAAAAUUUGUUGAUUUUUUUUUUUAUAGCAGUUAAAAUUACUAUCCGUAUAUGUUUAGAUUAAGCCAUAUAUUGUAGUUUUUGAUGGCCAACAAUGAACGCCCUAGAUAUAUACUGACCGGAUUUAGGAUCCUGCAUGUACUGAAUCGUCAAUGUUCGCAAUCAAUUUAUGUUGAUCGGGGGCUGAUAAAUAGAUCGAUAUUACAAAUUUAUAUCAUACUUUUCACUUGAGUUUUGUAUGGUUUUUAUGUUAAAUAAUGUCGUCGAUCAUCAUUUCUCCACAACUUAUAUUACCAGUUUGAGAUAGCUAGCAAGUCACAAUUUCGAUGUAUAUAUACGUAUAUAUGGUGCGAGUCUUAACAACUAAAUUAAAUCUAGCUAGAGUGAUUCGUUAGAGUGCAUGCGUGAUCGAAGGAACACAAUUGAUAAGACCAGAGCUCAAAAACUAGCUAUAGCUAAACAUUUAAGCAUACUAUAUAUAUAAUGGAACGAAUAUUUAAGAGCGAAUAGAACGAAUCAUUGUUCAUACAUAUACUUCAUCAAAAAUCACAUAUACAUACAAGUACGUACUGAUACAACAAGAAGGAAGCAGCUGACGAAAAUAGGAAAUAUCUACGUACUGUAAGAAAAUCCUUCAAUUAAUACACCAAUAUUGACCUGUACUUACACAUAAACAUAUAGAGAUAAAUAAUUAAGUUUGUAUUUGUAUAUCAUAUCUAUAUCGUUACGGGAAGUGACACACACACACCCUAAAUUGUAAUCCACACACCCACUUUUUUUUUAGUGACUUAAAUUUUAUCUUUAGUGAUUUCAAUUUUGUCUUUAUAUGAUAAUGAUUACUAAAAAUUGAAAAUAAGUGUGUAGAUUACAAUUUAAGAUGUGUGGAUUGUAUAUCCAAUAGUUACAUGUUUUGUUAAUUUGGUCCCUGUUUUGUUUGGAUACUGGUGCGUAACAGGUACUUAGCAUUUUCUUUUGAUACAAGGUGGACCACUUUUUAGAGUAGCACAUUCAUAUCAUAACUUGUGUGGUUCCAUAUGUUAUAGAAAGUCUAAUCUAUCACAUAAUUUAGAUUAAUCUAUCACAUAAUUUAGAUAAAUAACGUGUAUAUGAAAAAAAAAAAAUAAAUAUAUAUAUAUAUAUAUAUAUAUAUAUAUAUGUUGUAUCUAUAAAUGUUCAACAUCAAGUUUUAUCACACAUCGAGCGGCGAUCGAUUUACACUUACACGCUUGCCUAGCUACAUUAAGUCUCAUAUGGAUGUAGAUGCAAUACAAACAUUGAUUAGCUAGGAAGAUAGAUUCGUCGAGGAAUGACUUGAGGACGAGAUGGAUGGCAUGCGGUAUAUAGUAGUAAAUAAUCCAAAUUUCAGGCCAAAAACAAAAUAGAAAUGAGAAGCUGAUUUUUGUAAUAAUUUUUUUUUUAAUCAAAAAGUCAUUCCAUUAAAUCAGAGUAAGCAGUAUAAAGACGAUGCACCCCUAAGGGUCAUCAGAAAGUAUCGUCUUACAGAAUUGCAAGUCCUACACUAGCUAAAGCAUACACUAUGAAAUCCUAAAUACACCCACCUUAUAGCGAUUAAGCACAAUUUUACAAGUAAACUAGGAUCCGCAGAGAACUAUCAAUACCCAACGAAUGCAAACUAGUUUACCUUGAUCAAACUAAAUUUAAACUAGGGGUCCAAGCCCAAUUGCAUCAUCCAAGGCCCAACAAAGGGAAACCCUAGCAACACCAACCCAAGCCCAUUCGAGCCCAAAUCUUGAAGGAGCCAAAAAAGAAACCCUAGCAUCCUCCACCCUUUUGCCACCGUCAUCACCACCCGAGGCCAACAACGCUGGCAUAGCCAUUUUCGGAAUCAGAGUCGCAUCACCGUCGCCGACUCCUUCCACAUCACCACUGCUCUCUCCAACAACACAAAGAGAAGGAAGAACAGGUGUACAAUCGCAAGGUAAACUCUGAAACUCACUGACCAAAAAAGCUCCCAGCCGCCACUGCCAAACAUGAUCCCGCAGAGCACACCGAUCCCCUUCAUCAUUCCCAAACCAUCCGGAUCUAAGAUCGGAUCAAAUUUUGAUUGACUCUUGUUCAUGGAAUGGUGUCGUGCAAGCCGGCCGUCAUCACCACCGAUUUGACGAGAAAGAGAGGGAAGAGAUCCCCUUUUCAAUCGAAAGUGCACAGUUGCCACCAGUGGAGAACCACCGCCGCUAAGUUUCCUCUCUUGCGAGAGGCCAGAGAGAGAGCGUCUUAAUUGAUAAUUGAGGUUGUUGCUAGCCGCACCCUUUUGAUUCGUUGUUAGUGUUUUAUUUGUAAUAUUUUUUUUUGUCAUAUAACAACUGUAAUUUAAACAUGAAAAAUUAUUGUAUCUUCUAGGACUACCACAUGUAACAUGGUUCGGCACUAGUAUUGGUCAACAUACACAAUUAAUACGUAGGGAUACAAAUUUGUCAACCAUCCUUAUUUGCCCACCUUUUUAAUUUAUUGACAUGUGUUCAUUUUAUUAUUAAGAAUAAAGUUAAAUCAUUUGAAGAGGAGUGCGGCUAUUGGGACCUCCUAAUUUGCUCAAUAUACCUCUUGUUCUCUUUACACCUCUAUUUUACUUUUAAAUACAAGUAUUUGCUCACUAGACCUCUUUUCAAAUUACUAAAAUAACCUUAUUUAUGUAAUUCACAUAUAUUUCCAUAUAUUACUCAUUACACCUCUUAUUCACUAACUAGACUUUUUUUUUCUUUUUUCUUUUUGCACGCGAACAUCGAUCUAUUCUCGACCUCUUAUUUUUUUUUCUUUUUUAAUAUAUUUUCACGCAAACCUCCAUUUCUUUUUUAUUUCUUUUUGCAUAAAAUGUCACUAGACCUUCAUUUUUUAAUCAAAUACUAAGAAAAAAAAUCAAUGACAUCAAUUCAGAGAAAAUUCAUUCGAAUCAUGAAGAGUAGUUUAUCUUAAAAGAAAAAAACAAGGUAUUGUGUCUCACAAUUAAUUUCUAUCAAUCAUCAAAAGAAUGUUCUUAUUUAAAUUUGUAUUUAAUAUUUAUAUAAUUUUUUAAUCAUUGAUAAUCAUACUUCCACAAAAUAUUUUUCACCUUGUACGUAUAUGCAUGCAACAUGUAUAAUAACAUAAAUUUUCUGCUACAUGAUCGUAAUAUAUUACUCAUAGUUUUAGUUCUUAUUAUAUAUAUAAAUGUUUUAAUAAGUAUGUAGUAAAAUUAAAAAAUCAAUAAGGAAAGUAAUAAAAUGCAAUCCAAUAUUAUUGAAUUGGAAAGUUUAAAGUGAACAAAUCUAAUAUUUGUUUUUGUUUAAUUAUUGUCCUUAAUAGUCAUUAUGUGCAAGAAUAUAUAUGUCAUUUAAUAAGUCACAAUACAGUGAGGUCAGGUGAGCAAAUUAAGAAGUCCCAAUAGCCGCACUCUUUGAAGAGACAUGUGUCAAUAGACUAAGAGAGUGAACACUUUAAUUUAGUGGGCAAAUAAAGGUGGUUGGUAAAUUUGUAUCCCGUUACGUAGUAGGCCUCACGUAAAUAACCCAAUUGUAUUGGUCCGAAUGACCACAUGCCACUACAAACGUGGUAGUUCAUGACCACAUAAUGAUCUUGAAUUUUCACAUUGGAACAUGUAGAGAGAGGGAGCGGUAAAAAGAAGAGAGAAAAAUAGACUCAUAUCGACGCUCCAAACUUCGAAGCUUGUUUAAUCAAAAUUUGUUAGCUAGAGAGAGUGAGUGUGUGACUAAAAGUAUUGCCGUGAUUUUUUUUAUAAAAAAAAAAAAAACUUUUGAUGAUGUGUUGUAUUUGAUGAAUAUUACCUUUUAAAAGUGUUGUUAAGACGUAAAAUUAUUAUUUUUUUAAUUAAAAACUGAUGCUAUUGAUCCGUAAUUAAAAAAAAUUGUUUAAAAUUUUGCUAACAUUAUGAAAUAUGAAAGUUCAUCUAAAAGAUUAUCCUUUAUAAAAAACGAAACAAUCCCAAACUGAGGCUUAGUCAAGAAUCAAAGUCUCACCUCAGAAGGUGAGCGCCCACUAGAUGGGCUAAAGAAUUUUCAGAGAGAAGCUACUAAUUACCACUUUUGACCAAGGUUGACUUGAUCAAACUCGACCCAAGUCUCUGUCUCACCCUCUCCCAUCCUUCACCAUCGUUGCUUCCUAGCCGGACAUAGUAAAUCGCAAUCACCGUUCAACCCACCUCGUACAACAACAACUGUCACCCGCCAAUAGCCACAUCCACAACCACAACCACAGUCUAGGAUCCUCCAAAUUCAUAACAGAAUAAAGCUCCCUUGUCGACCUGCAAACAUCAUCCAAUCCAAUCCGAUAGACGUGAUCAGACCUAGCCUACGUGACUCCGAGUUCCACCUGCCUUUGUUCCGCCCCUGUGAAACCCUAGGUAACCUCUAAUCUCCCCCACACAAACCCGGCUCAGACACUGCUUCAACCCGAAAGAAGGAAAACAUAACCUAACCAAUCUUUUGCUACAAACAAGGACUCACCUCCACCCACCUCUAUUAGAGGUCAUCGCUGGCGACAAGGUACAACCGGACAUGCACUCAAUCGAUAUCUGCCUUCUCUCGCUCUCUAGGAUUAGAGAGAGCGACGCUAUAUCUUUAUCGCCCUAUAUCUAUUAAUUUCCACUUAAUAACAAGCCAAAAGGGAUAAGAUUGUUGUUAAGCCCAAUUAUCUAUAAACUAAAAUUUGUUGGCUUGAUUAUGAGAACUGGCAUCUCAAGAAAUGGGUUUAUUUUGUUUUUCUGAGAAGGCUGUUUAUCCCGAAAUUUAGAUAUUUAGAUGAAAAGAAAAGGAGAAAAUACUUGUGAUAUCUUAUAUUUUGUACCUAAAAACAAUUUUGUCAUUCGGUUUUUAAAAUAAAUAGGUAUACCCCUAUAUUCUUAAUUCUCGACAAUUUUACAAUUUCCAUCAGUUAACUGUCAAAAGAGACCGUUAAGUUGUUGAAAUGGCUAAAAUGCCCCUAUUAAAAAUCAAUUUUAUUUUAUUUUAUUUCUCUUUCCUAAUUUUUCUAUUAAAAAUCGAUUUUAUAUUUUCUUUAAAAAAGCAAUUUUCUUUUUUCCUCUUAUUUUUUUUUCUAUUUCAUAAUUAUUACUUUUAUAUGUUAUAUCCUGAGGUGCAAGCGAUUGUUCACGAUAGUUGGUUUGUGUUGAAAGUUUCGCAAUUUGAGUGUCUAAGUAACAACCCGGCCUAAAGGGUUCGGAUUUGGGAAGUUCCUUCUGUGUUUUAGCUCCCUAAUAAAUUAAGUAAUUAGGAAACACUAGUGUUUCAAGGUAGUAUUACUUAAUUUGAGGAUAUACGCAGUUUUCAGUUGGAUCUAAUAGCUACAAAUCCCUACAAUUAAUAUCACUAGUAUAGAGGAACGUACAUGAUCAGUACCGGUACCCUAUAGUUUCAUGCCCAUAACUAAUGCAAGAUAUAUUGAUUCUAACGCUUAACAAAGUGUAGGUAAUUAAUUAAUUAUAUCGAUCUCUAUUCAUAUUCUUGUUUAAAUUAUUAAUGCUACUUGAUUUUAGCAGGAACAGGAACUUACAAAAACGUAUACUGCGCACCUUGCACGUGCACCUCACCUUUCUGAAGAAGUAUCAAGUUUGAGCGUGGAAGAUGAUUGUGCCAUCGCUAGUAGCGCUACUGUUUCUGACCAAGUGAAUCUAAAGAUUGAGGAUGAUAUUGCUAUCAAUGAGGCUAAGAUCCAGCAUGCAAAUAUAUCCAAGAUAGUAAGAGACAAGGACUUUGCUACCUUACAGAAGUUUGGAGGCAUCGAAGGAAUUGCAGAGGCACUCGGUACAGAUUUGCACAACGGAAUCCCAGGUGACGGACAAAAUCUUCAUGAUCAACACAGUGCAGUAGUCUCAACAACACAAGCUCCAACUCCAAGCUUCUUCAACCUUCUCCUACGAUCUUGCUUCAAUUGGACCUUUCUCCUUCUCCUGGUGUCUGUGAUCCUGUUAAUUGUGUUUGGUAUCCAACAAGAAGGCCCAAGUAGCGGUUGGCUUGAAGGAGCUGUUGGAGCGUUUGCGAUCAUCAUGUUUGUGGUUGUGUCUACAAUGCGCAAGUAUUUCUUCGUGCCACGUUCCAGGAUUACUGCUAGACAAAUGGAAGUUAAGGUUCGUAGAGGAGGAAACC